rnacentral:rRNA from 1 species
AGAGUUUGAUCAUGGCUCAGAACGAACGCUGGCGGCAGGCUUAACACAUGCAAGUCGAACGCAUCCUUCGGGGUGAGUGGCAGACGGGUGAGUAACGCGUGGGAACGUGCCCUUCAGUUCGGAAUAACCCAGGGAAACUUGGGCUAAUACCGGAUACGUGCGAGAGCAGAAAGAUUUAUCGCUGAAGGAUCGGCCCGCGUCUGAUUAGCUAGUUGGUGAGGUAAUGGCUCACCAAGGCGACGAUCAGUAGCUGGUCUGAGAGGAUGAUCAGCCACAUUGGGACUGAGACACGGCCCAAACUCCUACGGGAGGCAGCAGAGGGGAAUAUUGGACAAUGGGCGCAAGCCUGAUCCAGCCAUGCCGCGUGAGUGAUGAAGGCCUUAGGGUUGUAAAGCUCUUUCAGCGGGGACGAUAAUGACGGUACCCGCAGAAGAAGCCCCGGCUAACUUCGUGCCAGCAGCCGCGGUAAUACGAAGGGGGCUAGCGUUGUUCGGAAUCACUGGGCGUAAAGGGCGCGUAGGCGGCUUGAUAAGUCGGGGGUGAAAGCCUGUGGCUCAACCACAGAAUUGCCUUCGAUACUGUCUGGCUUGAGACCGGAAGAGGUAAGUGGAACUGCGAGUGUAGAGGUGAAAUUCGUAGAUAUUCGCAAGAACACCAGUGGCGAAGGCGGCUUACUGGUCCGGUUCUGACGCUGAGGCGCGAAAGCGUGGGGAGCAAACAGGAUUAGAUACCCUAGUAGUCC